rnacentral:rRNA from 1 species
CCUACGGGAGGCAGCAGUGAGGAAUAUUGGUCAAUGGGCGAGAGCCUGAACCAGCCAAGUCGCGUGAGGGAGUACUGCCCUAUGGGUUGUAAACCUCUUUUGUCGGGGAGCAAAAGCCGGACGUGUUCGGCUGUGAGAGUACCCGAAGAAAAAGCAUCGGCUAACUCCGUGCCAGCAGCCGCGGUAAUACGGAGGAUGCGAGCGUUAUCCGGAUUUAUUGGGUUUAAAGGGUGCGCAGGCGGAUUUUUAAGUCAGCGGUAAAAUCGUGGGGCUCAACCCCAUCCAGCCGUUGAAACUGGGGAUCUAGAGUGUGCGAGAGGUAUGCGGAAUGCGUGGUGUAGCGGUGAAAUGCAUAGAUAUCACGCAGAACCCCGAUUGCGAAGGCAGCAUACCGGUGCACAACUGACGCUCAGGCACGAAAGCGUGGGUAUCGAACAGGAUUAGAUACCCCAGUAGUC